rnacentral:tRNA from 1 species
GCCUUCGUAGCUCAGCUGGAUAGAGCAGUCGCCUCCUAAGCGACAGGCCAGUGGUUCGAAUCCACUCGAGGGCACCA